GGUGUGUUAGCUUAAUUGGUUAAGCAUAGUACUACGGAUGCUAUAAAUAUGAGUUCGAGUCUCGUACACAUCU
rnacentral:tRNA from 1 species